GUUUUGGCAGCCAAAAGUAUAAUUAGAGUUUCAUCCGCAUGUAUCUGGCUUACAGAGCCCGCAUAAUGCAAACCUCCGUCUCCUGCCGGCAGCCCCAAGGACGCGUGUGCGGAGUUUUCACGGCGGUGCCCGAUGCGCGGCACUGAUCCCGCCCGGCUCCGGCCCGGCUGUGCCCCGCGCACCAUGGGCCGCCCGCAGGGACUCGCUGGCCGGACUUCGGGCGCCUCCCUGUUGCUUCCCCUUGGAAGCGCACGCCGGAAGAUGCUGCUGCGCUUUGCCGGAGGUGCGAAGCCGCUCGCUGUGGCCCGUAGGGCGGCGGCCAGACGCGGUGCUGAGAAAGUUUCCCGGUGCCCGAGGGCGACUUUGACGCGAGAGCGGCGGGGGCUGCCGGGCCGACCCGGGGCGUUCCGGCUGCGCUCUCGGGUGCCGGAGCCGCGUCCGCGGGGGCCGGGCCGGGCCGGGGGGAAGGGGCGUUGCCAUCUGCUGUUAAUUCCGCGGUCAUUGGAUUAGUAACCAGCGGUGAUGAGAUCAGCGGGAUCGGCUUUCGCGAGGGGGCACGGCGCUCCCCAGCUGUGCCGGCUCUCGCAUGAGGCGGCGGCGGGCGGCGCAGGGGGAGGCAGCGCGCACAAAGCCCGGUAGCCGCCGCAGGCCGCCGCCCCCGGGCAGGGCUCCCGGGCGGCCCGGCCGCCCCGAGCCCGGCAGCGCCCGCGGGCCCCCGGGCGCGGCGCCCGCCCCGCUCCGAGCCGCGGCUCCCCCGGCUCCUGUCGCCUCCCCGGGCAGCCGCAGGCAGCGGGAGCAGCCUCUGCUGGGCGGGCGCUCCGGGCGGGGGGCACGGGCUCCGAGCGUGCGAGCUCGGCCACGGCGGCUCCCGAGUUUGUUUACUUGUGCUUCGCCGCUCGUCGCCGGUGUCUGCUCUCUGCCGGCACAGCGGAUCGGUGGCGGUGCCCUGCCGGGGGUUUAUGCUAAUGUGCCUCGGUGUCUUGCUGCUGACUCCGGAUGUCCUUGGAUGACCGUCCUGUGCUUCAGUGACCCUGCCAGGACUGAAGGCAGACUCGGUACUUCCCUGCAUCGCCAGGAUGAGAAAACUCCCCAGCGCCGUGCCUUCCUGCGGCCCCCAUGUGGGUGUUGCUCUGGAAGUACGCACUGGUGCUGCUGGGCUCCGGGAGCCCUGGGUUCGCUCCCGUCCCAUCCCAUCGGGCUGUUUGUCUUUGCAAAUGUCACUGCAGCCAGCUCUGAGGCACCGGCUUCCUGCUCAACAGGCUCUGGGCUCGGGACUGAGAAAGCAGUGCCACCUUUUUGCAAGGAGCUUUUCAGAGUUGUGAGACUUAAGGGUUUUUUUGUGUGUGUGUGUGGGGGGUUGUUUGGGUUUGUUUGUUUUGGAAAGGUUGUUAAUGGUGGGGUUUUUUUGUUUUGGCUUGGAUAUUUGGUUUUUUUUUAAGAGAAG
rnacentral:lncRNA from 1 species